AUUGAACGCUGGCGGCAGGCCUAACACAUGCAAGUCGAGCGGAUGAAGGGAGCUUGCUCCUGGAUUCAGCGGCGGACGGGUGAGUAAUGCCUAGGAAUCUGCCUGGUAGUGGGGGAUAACGUCCGGAAACGGGCGCUAAUACCGCAUACGUCCUGAGGGAGAAAGUGGGGGAUCUUCGGACCUCACGCUAUCAGAUGAGCCUAGGUCGGAUUAGCUAGUUGGUGGGGUAAAGGCCUACCAAGGCGACGAUCCGUAACUGGUCUGAGAGGAUGAUCAGUCACACUGGAACUGAGACACGGUCCAGACUCCUACGGGAGGCAGCAGUGGGGAAUAUUGGACAAUGAGCGAAAGCCUGAUCCAGCCACGCCGCGUGUGUGAAGAAGGUCUUCGGAUUGUAAAGCACUUUAAGUUGGGAGGAAGGGCAGUAAGUUAAUACCUUGCUGUUUUGACGUUACCAACAGAAUAAGCACCGGCUAACUUCGUG
rnacentral:rRNA from 1 species